ACAGUUUAUUCCUACUUGAAACUUCAUGUUUAGUCGUUUACUCGUUUACGCACACUGUUGACAAGCCAAGACGCCAAGAGUGCAAGUAGCUCAAGCCAAGCAAGGUCGAAGCCAGGUUGACCACGUGACCGUAUGUCAACGGACCGUCAAGGCCUGUUUCAUCGGACCGCUCUGCCGAUCUCUCGGCGUGGAGGAAACGUAAACAAAGGAGCUGUGCGCACCUGCUUUAAACAGAAGGCAGAAAACAAUGAGCCAGCCAUCAUCGUGCAGGAAGCCGACGCCAAAUGGGCUGCUGCUGAAUCGGUCAGGCAUGCACCAGCUAGGACCAAGAAAAUGGAGCAGUGUGCCUCUUCUCAGGAGUGACUGAGGGGCUGCCACAAGGGGAGAAGGCA